UAUUACGCGUACGUCCGU
rnacentral:misc_RNA from 1 species